CACACACACCCAACUUCGCUCGCAAGGGCAGCCGGAAAGUGGCCCAUUCUGAUCUCCAAGCUGGUCACAGUCUCGGCCCUCUCCCCUCUCCGUGCCCUGACGCCCCAUCACCCUUCAGCUUUCUCCUUCGCCUCCCUUCUUUCAUGAGCGCAGACCCCAUGCUCUCACCCUAAGACCUCGCUGGCUGCAGUGCUGUCUACUCUCCUUCGCUUCCUGCCAGCGUUCUGCUGGAAGCUGUCACCGGGCCCUACGUCUGGAGCCUUCACUCCUAGAGAAGCACUGCUCUUUGCCCAUCCCGAUGGGCUUCAAGACCUCUCUCUAGACGCGCCCAACGCCAGAGACCCCAACUCAGAGAAGGAAAGAUCCGACCCAGGAGAGGGUGACAGCAGAGACUGCAUCCAGUGCGGCCAAAGGGAAAGGAAAGAUCUGGUGCCUGGAGCCCCACUAUGGACCCAGAAGCCAGAUGCCCUGCUAUAAGAAGCCCACGCCACAUGGAGAAGCCACAUGGAGAUGUUCCAGGUGCAACUUCAGCUGAGUUUCUAAGCCGAGAGCCAACAGAGCCUGAGCCUUCUGCAUCUUCCAUCUGGCACACAGAGAAGUGACUUACAGCAAUAAAUACCAAGAAGAAAGAAGCCCUUCAUGAAUAAAAGAGGAGUGAGACUGCCAUGAAGCACACAACUCGCCUUCCUACAAAGCAAAUAAAUAAAG